GAUAGUCUUGAACCAUGAUCCCCCUGAUCUCAGCCUCCCAAGUAGCUUGGAUUACAGGCGUUGAACCAUCCACCUAGCCCCUUGGUUUUUUAAGACAAAGUCUCACUAUGUAACUCAGCCUAAUCUCAAACUCAAGAUCCCCCUGUUUCUGCCUCCAGUGUGCUGGGAUUUACAGGUGUACACCACCACACUUGGCCUGAGUUACCAAAUUAAAGAACCACCGGAGUAAUCAGUGCCCACCUUCCAACAGGUGACCAAAUGUUGAUGCCCUCCAGAACUCAUCACAACCCUCUUCUCCUGUGUAAAGUGGGAAAACAUUUGAAGUAAAAAUCAACCAAGUCAACAAUGUUUCAGACGUCUCUUCCGAAUCGAGUGGAAGCAGGUUUUAGAUACACUCACCUGGUCUCCCACCACUCCAGGCUCAAAAGUGCUCUGAGGCUCAACUAAUUGUCACCAGUCGUGCAGUGAAACCUUCAGAGAAGUUGGAAGGCCCCAUCCAUCACCUCAGAGUCGGGGCUCUAUCAUCACUAAAGAAGGCACGGUCAGAAUCUAAAACACACAUUGCGCCUCCCGGACUCUAUGCUCUCUGGAAAGUGGUCCUCAUCCGGCACCGGCCCCCAACUCCUCUCACAGACUGGUUCCCCCCAGCUGUGUCCCGCACGCUCCUU